GAUGAAGAACGCAGCGAAAUGCGAUACGUAAUGUGAAUUGCAGAUUUCAGUGAAUCAUCGAAUCUUUGAACGCACAUUGCGCCCGCUAGUAUUCUGGCGGGCAUGCCUGUUCGAGCGUCAUUUCAACCAUCAAGCCCCCGGCUUGCGUUGGAGCCCUGCGGCUGCCGCAGGCUCCCAAAUCCAGUGGCGGGCUCGUCGUCGUACCGAGUGCAGUAAACAUCCUCGCUCAGGGAACGUGACGGGUUCUUGCCGUGAAACCCCCCACAUAUCAAGGUUGACCUCUGAUCAGGUAGGAAUACCCGCUGAACUUAAGCAUAUCAAAAGCGGAGGA
rnacentral:misc_RNA from 1 species